CAGCUCGAGUUGACUGUCUGAACAAGCUUCAUGUUUGGAACACUGACAGUCUUUGCAGAGUCUAAAACAUGCACUGUCAUCCUCAUAUCAGCCAGAUGGAGAGUUCAGAGAAGACAAAAUCCACCAGUGUUUCUUCUUCGGCUCAGAUGACGUGAGCUCCAGCUGUUUGUCCACCUUCACCUCUGCAGAGAUCAGGAGGCCGGUAAAGCUGAAAGCAGGGCGAGAACAGUCUGUGCUGCUGCUGCUAAUGCAAAGCCAAUCCCCAG